GACGUAGGGCGCGAGCGUUGUCCGGAUUUAUUGGGCGUAAAGAGCUCGUAGGCGGCUUGUCGCGUCGGCUGUGAAAACCCGCGGCUCAACUGUGGGCGGGCAGCUGAUACGGGCAGGCUGGAGUUCGGUAGGGGAGACUGGAAUUCCUGGUGUAGCGGUGAAAUGCGCAGAUAUCAGGAGGAACACCAGUGGCGAAGGCGGCUCACUGGCCCGGUACUGACGCUGAGGUGCGAAAGCGUGGGGAGCAAACAGG
rnacentral:rRNA from 1 species